CCUACGGGGGGCAGCAGUAGGGAAUCUUCCACAAUGGGCGAAAGCCUGAUGGAGCAACGCCGCGUGGGUGAAGAAGGUCUUCGGAUCGUAAAACCCUGUUGUUAGAGAAGUAAGUUCGUGAGAGUAACUGUCCACGUUUCGACGGUAUCUAACCAGAAAGCCACGGCUAAAUCCGUGCCAGCAGCUGCGGUAAUACGUAGGUGGCGAGAGUUAUCCGGUUUGAUUGGGCGUAAAGGGAACGCAGGCGGUCGUUGAAGUCUGAUGGGAAAGGCUGCGGAGUAACAGGAAAAGUGCAUUGGAGAAUGGGAGCAGGGAGGACAGUAGAGGGAGGAGGAAGUAGGGGUGUAGGGGUGAAAGGCAUAGAUAUAACGCAGAA
rnacentral:rRNA from 1 species